UGGGCCGUCGCCAAGCGGUAAGGCACCAGGUUUUGAUCCUGGCAUGCGUAGGUUCGAAUCCUACCGGCCCAGCCA
rnacentral:tRNA from 1 species